UGUGCUAAACAUUCAUAUGCCCCUUUGUGCUUCAACCACCAUUCCAGAGGACAUAAGUCCAUGCUGAUGACAGGUUCUGCUCAAUAAUAAUCCAAAGCAGAGCGGACCGAUGCAUGUUCAUUUGCAUCAUCUGGGUCAGAUGCCAACAGAAGGUUGAUUUUAUUUUUUGAUGGUUUGGGUUUUGUAGAUUCUGUAUCUGAAUGUUGCUCUUUUAAGACUUCUGAAAGCAUGCUCCACACCUCAUCCCUCUCAGAUUUUGGAUGGCACUUCAGAUUCUUAAACCUUUAGUCGAGUGCUGUAGCUAUUUUUAGAAAUCUCACAUUGGUACCUUCUUUGCAUUUUCUCAAAUCUGCUGUGCAAGUGUUCUUUAAAUGAACAUCAUCUGCUGGGUCAUCA